rnacentral:rRNA from 1 species
UACGAAGGGGGCUAGCGUUGCUCGGAAUCACUGGGCGUAAAGGGUGCGUAGGCGGGUCUUUUAAGUCAGGGGUGAAAUCCUGGAGCUUAACUCCAGAACUGCCUUUGAUACUGAAGAUCUUGAGUUCGGGAGAGGUGAGUGGAACUGCGAGUGUAGAGGUGAAAUUCGUAGAUAUUCGCAAGAACACCAGUGGCGAAGGCGGCUCACUGGCCCGAUACUGACGCUGAGGCACGAAAGCGUGGGGAGCAAACAGGG